AUGAACGCUGGCGGCGUGCUUAACACAUGCAAGUCGAACGGUGAAGCCAAGCUUGCUUGGUGGAUCAGUGGCGAACGGGUGAGUAACACGUGAGCAACCUGCCCUGGACUCUGGGAUAAGCGCUGGAAACGGUGUCUAAUACUGGAUAUGAGAUGUGAUCGCAUGGUCAUGUUUGGAAAGAUUUUUCGGUCUGGGAUGGGCUCGCGGCCUAUCAGCUUGUUGGUGAGGUAAUGGCUCACCAAGGCGUCGACGGGUAGCCGGCCUGAGAGGGUGACCGGCCACACUGGGACUGAGACACGGCCCAGACUCCUACGGGAGGCAGCAGUGGGGAAUAUUGCACAAUGGGCGGAAGCCUGAUGCAGCAACGCCGCGUGAGGGAUGACGGCCUUCGGGUUGUAAACCUCUUUUAGCAGGGAAGAAGCGAAAGUGACGGUACCUGCAGAAAAAGCGCCGGCUAACUACGU
rnacentral:rRNA from 1 species